GUGUACGCACCCAGCACCCAGCCGUUCAGAACUGGCGUCACGGCUCCUUCCUGAGCAUUAACGGAGGAGAAUGCCUACUUUACGGGAGGAUACGAAUUCAAGAAAGCGACGGACAGACCUUGUCGAGGGCCAAGCAUGACAUCGGAUCGGGCAGCUUCGUGGGUAGAUUGUUGUUGGCCGAUCGAUGUGAACUAUUGGUGCUCCCGGUGUCGCUCUCAUCGCCAGCGUCUUCGUUGUCGUUAUUUUCGUUCGGCACGCAAGUCUGACCGGCAAUGUGAACAGGAGACUCUUCUACUCGCCAACGAUCAUCGCGAGCCGAAAAAGGCGAUCGUAUAACGCGAAUGAAAAUGCGGUGCCGUUUUCACAGAGAAAAGAACUCGAGAUGGACUUGGCGCGGCUGGAUGCGACUUGGCCGCGUUCUGCAUUCGCAGAUUCAGAGAUCUUCGCGAAAUCAAUUAGGGUUCUGAAGUCUUUUCACAGUCGUUCAUAAUGGCGAAGAUUUGGCAACCGGAAGAGCGUUCUUCGAACUUGCGAUGCGGAACCGAUAAGAGAGGGAGAGGGAGAUUGUGCGAAAUAUAGAAGAAUCCCGCUCGGCUCUACAGUUUUGCAUAUUGAUUAUGUCCUGCGAAUUAAACUCGCGUCCGAUGUGCAAUAAAGUGCGUCUUUAUUUAGGAACUGGAAGAGGAUUUCUCUCGCAGAGUUCAUUCGAAAUCAA